UCCACAUAAAUAAAUGAAGUUGCGCAAAACCAGGAGGCAGCCGGGAAACCCUCACCGUUCGCCGGGUUCCGGCCAUUUCCGGUCACCCUUAACCUCCCCUUGUGCCGGUUCAUCAUCCACCGUCAUCUCCACCGUAGAUCUAACGGAAUCCGGCGACGUUUGGGCUUCCUUCGUGCGACCUUUCAUCUUCCGGCGAGUUUCUUCCAUUUUCCGGCGAAGGUUCGGCUUCCCGAGUGUUGGGUCAUCUUCCCCGAGCUUUCUUGCCGCUGAUUUGACUGUUCUCCGGCGAGUUUCAUCACUUUACAUAUUGUGACUCUUCGGCUUCCAGGCGAGUUUUCGCUCACUUUCCGGGGAUGUUGCACCUCCCCAGCUACCGAUCCUCACUCCCCAGCUCGAGAGCGACCUCCCGGUACCUUCGGGUCAUCGUUUCGCCACCGGCCGCCGGGAACCACCACUGGAAUCCUCCCUUGGCCACAAACCACCUUCUCCAACUGCCGGUGAUUCGUUUUCCACCAUGACCGGCACCAUUUCACCGUCUCCAGCUACCGUCGACACCACCAUGAGCGGCUGAGCUCCCGGUUGCCCGUUACGGUGUAGGCCAGACCAAGUUAAAUGCCCUACCAGGUGGCCUUUUCCAGAAGACAAAACUCGAUAUAUCAGUGAUAAUUCAUAAAUGUCCUAUUCCUGAAGCACAUCAAAUUGAGGGUCGUACUCGUACCUGCAAGGAAGCCCAAAUUGAAUUAUCAAUUUGACAGCAGCUACCAGCAACCCACAAGCCACAGUUAAAUGAUGCUACUUACAAAUGUAGAAUGGUUUCUGGAAGUUAAGAAAAGCAAUCAAACUGAAUCUGUUUCAAAGAUCAAAUUGGCUAUUAUCCUUGCAGAUAAAAUAUACCUAAGGACAGAACUACGAAGAGCCGAUUUUUCUUGUAACAAACAGAAAAUAUUUCCGAUGAAACAAGUGCCUAAUGUUUUGUUUCCACAUUUGCUUGAUAUUAUUGCUUUUUAGCCAAGGUUGCUAAAAAGAAGUUGUGUCUAGCGAAAGGAUUUAUUAGUUAUUCAGAAUUUUCUCCAUUACUGUCAACUGUUAUCCUGAUGCAGGAGAAUUUAACAAUAAAUCUUCAUGGAUUGGAACUCCGAGUGCAAUUUGUAAUUGUAUUGCAGAGCGUGGUCUUGGUCAACCCUCAAAAUCAAUCUUGUUAUCUCCAAGAAUAUCCUGUGAUACAACCUGCACAAUGGAUAAAAUCCAUUUCUAUUUCUCUUCUAGGAGAAUUCGGACACAACUCUAAUGUGUUCUGAACAGUUUCUGCAUCAUAAAAAACAUUCAUCAGCUCCGUCAUUCAUUUGUUCUAUCAAACAAGAUGACCUUGUCGGCAGGCUAUGGACUAUGCACAUUCAUCUUCAAGGUUAACCAUGGAUUAGUCUCCAAGAGCAGAAUUACAACCCUUGGCUUUCCCUUGACGACAAGCUUUCAUUCAUGCAAUGGAAUUUGCAGCUUCUUGUGUUCCAAUCAUGUCAAGAUGCAACUCAACCAUAUCCUUCACCAUUUGAAGUGAGAUUCAUAUAUUGUUUCAUUACACAAGAUUUUGCCUUCUCCACAGGACAACUCUGAAACCAGGGAUAGAUUCAUUCUUUGAAUUCAUUGGACACAGCUCAUUACUCAAUUAGCAUUGUUAGAGCAUGGAGCUUUCUUCAAAACUUACAAGAGAGAAUACCAGCUGCAGCUGGAAACAGGAAGGUUUGCUGUAACAUUUCUCUUUUUUUUUUUUUAACUGUCUCGGUUCUGGUCUGCUUUCUUUUUAAGGUCUUUGUUUUAUAUUAUUAUAUGUUUGGUGAUAAUAAGACCAUCAAACAGUUGGCUUCUAGAAGACUGGUGUUAAAAGGAGACAGGACAGGACUGAGGACUCUAAUGGUUUGUCUCGUGCACCAAAAAUUAAACUGGACAAAUGUAUGGUUAAUACUGAGAAUUUAUAGUUCUCUUACAAGUUUACUUUUUUUUGGGAAAUCUGACAAAUGUGAGCGAUGCGGAUACUGCCCCAAAAAUUGAAUAUGUAUCUGAUAUGUUGGCACAUGAAAUAAGAAACCAUGUGAUUGGCCAUAUUUUUGUUUUGGUGCAUGUGAAGGAUAAAGGAAAUACAAUAUACCAGAUGAAACAAGUGCUCAUUCUUCACUUGUCUCACCUGUCUGAGUUCUCCAAAUUACGCGAUGAGAAGGAUGGGGGAAGAAAAAGAAGAAUUACAACAUGUCAUGACUUCAUUCCUCAGCGGUUGGAUAUUAACCCCAAGUUACUACAGGAUUUAGGUUUAUUAAACCAAAAACCUUUCACAUAACCGUGCUGAUGUUGAAAUUGUGGAACAAGGACCGAGUUAACGCAGCUAUUGAGUUUUGAAGAGUAUUUCCUCGAAAGUGAUGGAUGCCUUGGAUGAUCGAUCCAUCUUUGUAAGACUAAAGGGGCUGGUGGAAUUGUUUUUCAAGUUCAAAUACAGCUUAUAUUGAGUUUGAGUCUUUGAGCUGACGGGACAUAGA